rnacentral:rRNA from 1 species
UACGUAGGGUGCGAGCGUUAAUCGGAAUUACUGGGCGUAAAGCGUGCGCAGGCGGUUUUUUAAGACAGGUGUGAAAUCCCCGGGCUUAACCUUGGAACUGCCUUUGAGACUGCAAGGCUAGAGUAUGGCAGAGGGGGGUAGAAUUCCGCGUGUAGCAGUGAAAUGCGUAGAUAUGUGGAGGAAUACCGGUGGCGAAGGCAGCCCCCUGGGUCAAUACUGACGCUCAUGCGCGAAAGCGUGGGGAGCAAACAGG